rnacentral:rRNA from 1 species
AUUGAGCGCUGGCGGAAUGCUUUACACAUGCAAGUCGAACGGCAGCACGGACUUCGGUCUGGUGGCGAGUGGCGAACGGGUGAGUAAUGUAUCGGAACGUGCCCAGUCGUGGGGGAUAACGUAGUGAAAAUUACGCUAAUACCGCAUACGAUCUAUGGAUGAAGGCGGGGGAUCGCAAGACCUCGCGCGAUUGGAGCGGCCGAUAUCAGAUUAGGUAGUUGGUGGGGUAAAGGCCCACCAAGCCAACGAUCUGUAGCUGGUCUGAGAGGACGACCAGCCACACUGGAACUGAGACACGGUCCAGACUCCUACGGGAGGCAGCAGUGGGGAAUUUUGGACAAUGGGCGAAAGCCUGAUCCAGCCAUUCCGCGUGCAGGAUGAAGGCCCUCGGGUUGUAAACUGCUUUUGUACAGAACGAAAAGGUUUCUACUAAUACUAGGAGCUCAUGACGGUACUGUAAGAAUAAGCACCGGCUAACUACGUGCCAGCAGCCGCCGUAA